GAUGAAGAACGCAGCGAAAUGCGAUAAGUAGUGUGAAUUGCAGAAUUCAGUGAAUCAUCGAAUCUUUGAACGCACAUUGCGCCCUUUGGUAUUCCAAAGGGCAUGCCUGUUCGAGCGUCAUUUGUACCCUCAAGCUUUGCUUGGUGUUGGGCGUCUUGUCUCUAGCUUUGCUGGAGACUCGCCUUAAAGUAAUUGGCAGCCGGCCUACUGGUUUCGGAGCGCAGCACAAGUCGCACUCUCUAUCAGCAAAGGUCUAACAUCCAUUAAGCCUUUUUUUCAACUUUUGACCUCGGAUCAGGUAGGGAUACCCGCUGAACUUAAGCAUAUCAAUAAGCGGAGGA
rnacentral:misc_RNA from 1 species